rnacentral:rRNA from 1 species
UACAGAGGUGGCGAGCGUUGUUCGGAUUUACUGGGCGUAAAGGGCGCGUAGGCGGCCGGUCGUGUCGGGUGUGAAAUCCAUGGGCCCAACCCAUGAAGUGCGCCCGAAGCUGCCCGGCUGGAGUGCGGGAGGGGAGAUCGGAAUGCAUGGUGUAGCGGUGAAAUGCGUUGAUAUCAUGCAGAACACCGGUGGCGAAGGCGGAUCUCUGGAACGCUACUGACGCUGAGGCGCGAAAGCAGGGGGAGCAAACAGG